rnacentral:misc_RNA from 1 species
UAAACCUCACCCCUAAUGUUUUAUCACAAUAGGUUGGUGCUUUGGGUGUUGCCAUUUACCUGGCUCGCCUUAAAUGACUAAGUGGAAUGCGUAAUAAGUUCUCGCAACCCUCCACUCUAAUACAAUUUAUA